ensembl:snRNA U6 U6 spliceosomal RNA
GUGCUCACUUUGGCAGCACAUAUACUAAAAUUGGAACCAUACAGAGAAGAUUAGCAUGACCCCUGCAGAAGGAUGACAGGCAAAUUUGUGAAACAUUCUAUAUUUUU